rnacentral:rRNA from 1 species
CCAAUAGCGUAUAUUAAAGUUGUUGCAGUUAAAAAGCUCGUAGUUGAACUUCAGGCCUGUCCAGACGGUCCGCCUUAAUUGGUGUGUACUGUCCUUGGGUGGGUCCUACCUUCUGGCGAAGCGGCAUGGCCUUAAUUGGUUGUGUCGGGGAACCAGGACUUUUACUGUGAAAAAAUUAGAGUGUUCAAAGCAGGCAAAUAUGCUCGAAUACAUUAGCAUGGAAUAAUGGAAUAGGACGAUGGUUCUAUUUUGUUGGUUCUAGGACCGUUGUAAUGAUUAAUAGGGUUAGUUGGGGGCAUUAGUAUUCAAUUGUCAGAGGUGAAAUUCUUGGAUUUAUUGAAGACUAACUACUGCGAAAGCAUUUGCCAAGGAUGUUUUCAUUAAUCAAGAACGAAAGUUAGGGGAUCGAAGACGAUCAGAUACCGUCGUAGUCUUAACCAUAAACUAUGCCGACUAGGAAUCGGGCGAUGUUGACAAAAUGACUCGCUCGGCACCUCAUG